UAACACGUGAGUAACCUGCCCCUGACUCUGGGAUAAGCCCGGGAAACUGGGUCUAAUACCGGAUACGACACCUCCUGGCAUCGGGUGGGUGUGGAAAGUUUUUUCGGUUGGGGAUGGACUCGCGGCCUAUCAGCUUGUUGGUGGGGUAACGGCCUACCAAGGCGACGACGGGUAGCCGGCCUGAGAGGGCGACCGGCCACACUGGGACUGAGACACGGCCCAGACUCCUACGGGAGGCAGCAGUGGGGAAUAUUGCGCAAUGGGCGAAAGCCUGACGCAGCGACGCCGCGUGGGGGAUGACGGCCUUCGGGUUGUAAACCUCUUUCAGCAGGGACGAAGUUGACGUGUACCUGCAGAAGAAGCGCCGGCUAACUACGUGCCAGCAGCCGCGGUAAUACGUAGGGCGCAAGCGUUGUCCGGAAUUAUUGGGCGUAAAGAGCUCGUAGGUGGCUUGUCACGUCGGGUGUGAAAGCUUGGGGCUUAACUCCAG
rnacentral:rRNA from 1 species